GCUCCACGCCCCCUGCCCCGCAGCUGCCGUGAGGCGCCGGCUGCCAGCGAGAUGGGACGGGACCUGCCCGGCCGCCCCUGACCUGGCUCCACGUCGCGCCGGGCCGCACCACCGGACUGAAGUUGCAACGCUGGGGCUACUGAGGCCUUGUGCCCCGUGCAGCACGCUGGCCACUGCACUCAGCAGCCACUGCAUGCGCCAGCCGCUGCACACGCCGGUCACUGCACGCGCCAGCCGCUGCACGCGCCGGUCACUGCAUGCACCGGCCACUGCACACGCCCGUCUCUGUACUUGCUGGUCACUGUACUUACCGGUCACUGCACACGCCAGUCACUGUACAUAACAGUCACUGUACUUGCUAGUCACUGUACUUGCUAGUCACUGUACUUCCCAUCACUGCACACCCCGGUCGCUGUACUCGCCGGCCACUGUACACACUGCCUGGGAACCAAAGCCCUACCACUCCCAAUACCAAGCAUGUUAACCUCUGCAAAGAUGCUUCUGCUCUUUUUGCAAGCGGUAUCCUGAAAAAUCUCUCCAGGAUCAAAUUUGGAUGAGAGGCAUGCUGAUGUGAUGACGGGAGGCUUGUCUUACAUCUGUAUAAUUUCUUCCGUAUCACUGCAUUUACCACAAAAUAAAAGAAUAAAAUUCA